rnacentral:rRNA from 1 species
UGGGGAAUAUUGCACAAUGGGCGCAAGCCUGAUGCAGCGACGCCGCGUGGGGGAUGACGGCCUUCGGGUUGUAAACUCCUUUCGCCAGGGACGAAGCGUUUUGUGACGGUACCUGGAGAAGAAGCGCCGGCUAACUACGUGCCAGCAACCGCGGUAAUACGUAGGGUGCAAGCGUUGUCCGGAAUUACUGGGCGUAAAGAGCUCGUAGGUGGUUUGUCACGUCGUCUGUGAAAUUCCACAGCUUAACUGUGGGCGUGCAGGCGAUACGGGCUGACUUGAGUACUGUAGGGGUAACUGGAAUUCCUGGUGUAGCGGUGAAAUGCGCAGAUAUCAGGAGGAACACCGAUGGCGAAGGCAGGUUACUGGGCAGUUACUGACGCUGAGGAGCGAAAGCAUGGGUAGCAAACAGGAUUAGAUACCCUGGUAGUCCAUGCCGUAAACGGUGGGCGCUAGGUGUAGGGGCCUUUUGGGGUUUCUGUGCCGUAGCUAACGCAUUAAGCGCCCCGCCUGGGGAGUACGGCCGCAAGGCUA